GGGCGGGUAGCUCAGUGGUAGAGCAUCUGACUUUUAAUCAGAUGGUCGUGGGUUCGAUCCCCACCCCGCUCA
rnacentral:tRNA from 1 species